rnacentral:rRNA from 1 species
AUUGAACGCUGGCGGAAUGCUUUACACACGCAAGUCGAACGGCAGCACGGUGGCAACCCUGGUGGCGAGUGGCGAACGGGUGAGUAAUACAUCGGAACGUGCCCGGUCGUGGGGGAUAACGUAGCGAAAGUUACGCUAAUACCGCAUACGAUCUGAGGAUGAAAGCGGGUGAGCUUCGGGCCUCGCGCGAGCGGAGCGGCGGAUGUCAGAUUAGUUAGUUGGUGGGGUAAAGGCCUACCAAGCCGACGAUCGGUAGCUGGUCGGAGAGGACGACAGGCCACACUGGGAGUGAGACACGGACCAGACUCCUACGGGAGGCAGCAGUGGGGAAUUUUGGACAAAGGGCGCAAGCCUGAUCCAGCCAUUCCGCGUGCAGGACGAAGGCCUUCGGGUUGUAAACUGCUUUUGUAUGGAACGAAAAGGCUCUGGCUAAUACCUGGGGCUCAUGACGGUACCGUAAGAAUAAGCACCGGCUAACUACGUG